rnacentral:lncRNA from 1 species
GUCAUCUGAGCUUCCAUUCCAUUGGAUGGCUUUUAGCCACCUACAUACACCACUGAGAAAGUGGAGUUCACAGCACUGUUUUGGACGAAUUGUAAUGUUGCAUUGUGCAGAUUGAGCGCUGCACAAAGGUGCCGUGUGCCUGCAGUGUUAUGUUACGCUAAGGGGAUGCUGGCCUCUUACUUGCACAUUGGCUGGACGUGGGUCCCCAGUAGCCCUGAGCGUCAGCAGCUGGCCAGGGCUGGCAAACACCUGGAUUCCUGUAAUUGGAGAUAAUUUUUGCCAACCACAACAAGAACAUCUUUAGAGUCUUGGUAAGAGUUGCUGAACAUGCCUUAAUGACCCUAUUAUCUGAGGGAAAGAAAAUCUUGAGUGCUUACUAUGUGCUAGGAGCUCUACUAAGCAUCUAACCUGAUCGUCUCAGCUACUCCUCAGAACAGACCUGUCAGACUUCAAAUCUUUGAUCGUUAUCCUUCUGUCAGAAGUCUAUCUUCUAAGCAAC